rnacentral:rRNA from 1 species
CUUCGGGGGAAAGUUCACGCCGAGAGAGGGGCCCGCGUCGGAUUAGGUAGUUGGUGAGGUAAUGGCUCACCAAGCCUUCGAUCCGUAGCUGGUCUGAGAGGAUGAUCAGCCACACUGGGACUGAGACACGGCCCAGACCUCUACGGGAGGCAGCAGUGGGGAAUAUUGGACAAUGGGCSAAGCCUGAUCCAGCAAUGCCGCGUGAGUGAUGAAGGCCUUAGGGUUGUAAAGCUCUUCGCACGCGACGAUGAUGACGGUAGCGUGAGAAGAA